UUUUUUCGAGGAUAUUAUUUGUUUUUCACAUACACGGCUAUGGUAUGUGAUAGACGAAAUGACAUCUGGAUUUAUGAUGCUGAUUCAUUUAGUUCAUCACUGCGCAAUAAAUGCGCAAAUCUAAUAUUCUUGAAAAUACAAACCCACUGAACCCGCUUACGACCAAUGAACAAAGCGAAGGGCGUGACCAGGGUAAAUUUCGAGGAGAUACGUCACUCAAACUACGAACCAGGGGUAAGCAGGAAAUGCAAAUAAUUUUUGUAGCUAGAAUUCACUCGUUAGCUAAAGUCAAAGGUAAUUUACGGAACAUUUAUGAACUUUUCAACCUUUGUGUCGAGUAGUAAAGCUUCACCUCAUAGUCAGCUCGUUUUCCAUCUGCUAGCCAGUACACUAUAGUUACUGUUAGCUAGCUAAACUAGAUUCGUUUAUUUGUCACAGAUGUAAUCGCAAGAUACGAGUACAGUGCAAUUCUAAUGAUCCGUGCUACAACAGUGCAGGUCAAAAAAGAGAAGGGAAUGAGAGAAUAGAAUUUAGGGUAUGGAAUGACCAUAAGGGGAGCACGACCCACGAACCCCCACCACACAGUUGAGAGCUUGGGUGGCACCAACCCCAGUUCAGCCCCCCAAAUCACAACCAGCACCAGGACAUCAGACAGGGCAGGUGAGCCCUUCAGUCCAUGAAGAAACACAAGGUCUACACAUGAGAAAGAGCUGUUUCACUGUCACCUAAAAUCCAUUUGAACAAAUCAUUUGAAUUUUGUUUUUUUAACUCAUAUGUUGAGUAUAUAGGAAUCUCUUGUUGCUGCUAAAUGCAAAUAAAUAUUUGCAUGUGUAUCUACC